GAUGAAGAACGUAGCGAAAUGCGAUAAGUAAUGUGAAUUGCAGAAUUCAGUGAAUCAUCGAAUCUUUGAACGCACCUUGCGCUCUUUGGCCAUUCCGAAGGGCAUGCCUGUUUGAGUAUCAUGAACACCUCAACUCUUUAUGGUUUUCCAUGAUGAGCUUGGACUCUGGGGGUUUUGCUGGCUCACAGUCGGCUCCUCUAAAAUGAAUCAGCUUACCAGUGUUUGGUGGGUAUCAUGGGUGUGAUAACUAUCUACGCUUGUGGUUUUUCCACCAGGUAACCUUCAGCAGUGGAGGUUCGCUGGAGCUCAUAGAUGUCUCUCCUCAGUGAGGACAGCCCUUUGAAUGUUUGAUCUCAAAGCAGGUAGGACUACCCGCUGAACUUAAGCAUAUCAAUAAGCGGAGGA
rnacentral:misc_RNA from 1 species